rnacentral:lncRNA from 1 species
GUGAAGAGUCUAAAGGAUCUUGGACUCUAAAGGAUCAAUUCACACCAAAAGGAAACAUGGGCACUCCCACAUAUUUUUCCAUGAUAAAAUUGAUUUCUUUCUGAUUUCCCAUUUCCCAUAUCACUUUAUUUGUCACACAAAAUCAAGAGGAUAAAGGGUGUGACGUGUGGACUUAUAGAUAAGGUCAAACCUUAUCUAAUAUGGUAUCCAAUUUCAAAUCAGAUUUGAACAUACCAUUUAAAAUUUAAUCUUACCCAAAUUUGGAUGUGAGAUAGAGAAGGGAAAGAACUAUUUGGCAUGAAAAAGUCUCACACAAAAACUAUUUGUACAUGAAGAAAAGUGGCAUCAAAAAUUAUGGCAC